AUAGUACCACUUUGCAGCGAACUUGGCAUUGGUCUUGUUGCAUAUAGUCCACUUGGUCAGGGUUUUUUUGCUGGGAAGGCCAGCCAAGAAAGUCUGCCAGAAAAUAGCCUCUUGGUUUACCAUCCUAAAUUUAUAGGCGAAAACUUAGAAAAGAACAAGGUUUUGUAUGCAAGUUUGAAGAGGUUGAGUGUGAAGCACCGUUGCAGCACUUCCCAGCUCGCUCUAGCAUGGCUUCUCCAUCAAGGGAAUUAUGUGGUUCCCAUUCCAGGGACUACCAAGAGUAAGAAUCUGGAGGAGAACAUCGGUGCUUUAGAAGUUAA
rnacentral:misc_RNA from 1 species